UGGGGAAUAUUGCACAAUGGGCGCAAGCCUGAUGCAGCCAUGCCGCGUGUGUGAAGAAGGUCUUCGGGUUGUAAAGCACUUUCAGCGGGGAGGAAGGCGAUAAGGUUAAUAACCUUGUCGAUUGACGUUACCCGCAGAAGAAGCACCGGCUAACUCCGUGCCAGCAGCCGCGGUAAUACGGAGGGUGCAAGCGUUAAUCGGAAUUACUGGGCGUAAAGCGCACGCAGGCGGUCUGUCAAGUCGGAUGUGAAAUCCCCGGGCUCAACCUGGGAACUGCAUUCGAAACUGGCAGGCUAGAGUCUUGUAGAGGGGGGUAGAAUUCCAGGUGUAGCGGUGAAAUGCGUAGAGAUCUGGAGGAAUACCGGUGGCGAAGGCGGACCCCUGGACAAAGACUGACGCUCAGGUGCGAAAGCGUGGGGAGCAAACAGG
rnacentral:rRNA from 1 species